AAAAUGGGUCUUCCAGAUUUCAUGGUUACCUAAAAUACAAACAUGCCCAUUUUUUGGGUUACGUGAUACUUGUUAUUCGUGACUUUCCGAGAAAUAUGCAGGCGUGUUGUAAUUUUUGCAAAAACGAAUCGAAUUUGUCUGCAAAAUAUAAUCAACUGAAUCUUGACCUCAAAUUAGGUAAGAGUACCCGCUGAACUUAA
rnacentral:misc_RNA from 1 species